AAGGUAGAAGAUGAUGAGAUGGUGUCCUUCAUCCUCACCGGGCUAGAUUCAGAUUAUAAUCCCAUGGUCACCUCAGUCAUGGGAAGAUUAGAUCCAAUC
rnacentral:snoRNA from 1 species